rnacentral:rRNA from 1 species
AGCGAACGCUGGCGGCAGGCUUAACACAUGCAAGUCGAGCGGGCGUAGCAAUACGUCAGCGGCAGACGGGUGAGUAACGCGUGGGAACGUACCUUUUGGUUCGGAACAACACAGGGAAACUUGUGCUAAUACCGGAUAAGCCCUUACGGGGAAAGAUUUAUCGCCGAAAGAUCGGCCCGCGUCUGAUUAGCUAGUUGGUGAGGUAACGGCUCACCAAGGCGACGAUCAGUAGCUGGUCUGAGAGGAUGAUCAGCCACAUUGGGACUGAGACACGGCCCAAACUCCUACGGGAGGCAGCAGUGGGGAAUAUUGGACAAUGGGGGCAACCCUGAUCCAGCCAUGCCGCGUGAGUGAUGAAGGCCCUAGGGUCGUAAAGCUCUUUUGUGCGGGAAGAUAAUGACGGUACCGCAAGAAUAAGCCCCGGCUAACUUCGUG